CAGCCGCCGCGGGAAUACGUAGGGCGCGAGCGUUAAUCGGAAUUACUGGGCGUAAAGCGUGCGCAGGCGGUUCGUUAAGACAGAUGUGAAAUCCCCGGGCUUAACCUGGGAACUGCAUUUGUGACUGGCGAGCUAGAGUAUGGCAGAGGGGGGUAGAAUUCCACGUGUAGCAGUGAAAUGCGUAGAGAUGUGGAGGAAUACCGAUGGCGAAGGCAGCCCCCUGGGCCAAUACUGACGCUCAUGCACGAAAGCGUGGGGAGCAAACAGGAUUAGAUACCCCAGUAGUCCCUGUCUCUUAUAA
rnacentral:rRNA from 1 species